GACGAACGCUGGCGGCGUGCUUAACACAUGCAAGUCGAACGGUAAGGCCCUUGGGGGUACACGAGUGGCGAACGGGUGAGUAACACGUGGGUGAUCUGCCCUGCACUUCGGGAUAAGCCUGGGAAACUGGGUCUAAUACCGGAUAGGACUCCUGGCUUCAUGGUUGGGGGUGGAAAGCUUUUGCGGUGUGGGAUGGGCCCGCGGCCUAUCAGCUUGUUGGUGGGGUAAUGGGCUACCAAGGCGACGACGGGUAGCCGGCCUGAGAGGGUGACCGGUCACACUGGGACUGAGAUACGGCCCAGACUCCUACGGGAGGCAGCAGUGGGGAAUAUUGCACAAUGGGCGCAAGCCUGAUGCAGCGACGCCGCGUGAGGGAUGACGGCCUUCGGGUUGUAAACCUCUUUCAGCUAUGACGAAGCGCAAGUGACGGUAGUAGCAGAAGAAGGACCGGCCAACUACGUGCCAGCCGCCGCAGUAACAC
rnacentral:rRNA from 1 species